rnacentral:rRNA from 1 species
GAUGAACGCUGGCGGCGUGCCUAAUACAUGCAAGUCGAGCGAACGGACGAGAAGCUUGCUUCUCUGAUGUUAGCGGCGGACGGGUGAGUAACACGUGGAUAACCUACCUAUAAGACUGGGAUAACUUCGGGAAACCGUAGCUAAUACCGGAUAAUAUUUUUAACCGCAUGGUUCAAAAGUGAAAGACGGUCUUGCUGUCACUUAUAGAUUGAUCCGCGCUGCAUUAGCUAGUUGGUAAGGUAACGGCUUACCAAGGCAACGAUGCAUAGCCGACCUGAGAGGGUGAUAGGCCAAACUGGAACUGAGACACGGUCGAGACUCCUACGGGAGGCAGCAGUAGGGAAUCUUCCGCAAUGGCGAAAGCCUGACGGAGCAACGCCGCGUGAGUGAUGAAGGUCUUCGGAUCGUAAAACUCUGUUAUUAGGGAAGAACAUAUGUGUAAGUAACUGUGCACAUCUUGACGGUACCUAAUCAGAAAGCCACGGCUAACUACGUG